rnacentral:rRNA from 1 species
UACGGGGGGGGCAAGCGUUGUUCGGAAUUACUGGGCGUAAAGGGCUCGUAGGCGGCCAACUAAGUCAGACGUGAAAUCCCCCGGCUUAACCUGGGAACUGCGUCUGAUACUGGGAGGCUAGAGUAUGGGAGAGGGAUGUAGAAUUCCUGGUGUAGCGGUGAAAUGCGCAGAUAUCAGGAGGAACACCGAUGGCGAAGGCGAGUCUCUGGGAUGAUGCUGACGCUGAGGCGCGAAAGCCAGGGGAGCAAACGGG